rnacentral:rRNA from 1 species
AUGGUGGUGGCGGUGGUGUGCCUGCAGGCGCAGCGCGUGGCCGGCCUGCCCGCCUCCGUUGGCGGGAUCGAACUAACAUGCCGGCUUGUUCAGCAUCCUCCUCAUGUCCAUCCUCUUGAUGAUCUUGGUGAUGAUGAUCAUGAUGGAGCGGAUCAUUAUCAUGAAGCAAGGGCGGCUCAGCGUGCCUCUACCUCCGUCUCCGGCGGCAGCGGCGACUUCUGCAGCCAGGUGCUCCUGCUCCACUGUAGCGCCAUCACCCCCUCCCUCAAAGCCGUCCUCACCGUCUCCCUGACCCUGAGACACCCAGGACAACGGCACCAUCAGCAGCAGCAGCAGCACCUCCAGGUCCACCUUGGCGCCGAGCGGCCGGGCGUCCUCACCUACCCGCUCACCGGCGCCACGGCUGGGGGCCUGCUCACCCUCGCGCUCCACCGCAAGCUGCUCUCACUGCCACCACCUUCUACCGCCACUGGCUGCUGCCUGCCACUGCCAGCAUGCUGUCGCCAGCGACGGCGGGGGAUCAACACCACCAACAAGAGCCACAACCACCACCACCAGCAGCAGCAGCAGCAGCAUGGCAUCCAGUACGACUCUGGCGACGAGUCAUCGGCUGGUUUCAUCAUCAUCGAGAAGGAGCUCACGCGGCCGCCCUCCGAGAGCCUGGCCGCCACCAUCAUCGAUGGCAACAGUGACCAAGACAAGAUGAAACUGGAUCGAGAACUGGACAGGGUCGAGGACGAGUUCCUGGCCAUGCUCGAGCUGUCAGCCGACACCACCACCUGUGUCGACUUCGACUUCGACCUCGACCUGCACCUAUACCUGGACAAACUCGUGAGGGAAGCCGAGGCCGAGCUUGGCAAUGCCAGCACCGCUCAUCUUCCCAAAGCUGCUGCUGCAUCCCAUGUAAAUUAUUGA